rnacentral:rRNA from 1 species
CCUACGGGAGGCAGCAGUGGGGAAUCUUGCACAAUGGAGGAAACUCUGAUGCAGCGAUGCCGCGUGAGUGAAGAAGGCCUUUGGGUUGUAAAGCUCUUUCGUCGGGGAAGAAAAUGACUGUACCCGAAUAAGAAGGUCCGGCUAACUUCGUGCCAGCAGCCGCGGUAAUACGAAGGGACCUAGCGUAGUUCGGAAUUACUGGGCUUAAAGAGUUCGUAGGUGGUUGAAAAAGUUGGUGGUGAAAUCCCAGAGCUUAACUCUGGAACUGCCAUCAAAACUUUUCAGCUAGAGUUUGAUAGAGGAAAGCAGAAUUUCUAGUGUAGAGGUGAAAUUCGUAGAUAUUAGAAAGAAUACCAAUUGCGAAGGCAGCUUUCUGGAUCAUUACUGACACUGAGGAACGAAAGCAUGGGUAGCGAAGAGGAUUAGAUACCCUCGUAGUCCAUGCCGUAAACGAUGUGUGUUAGACGUUGGAAAUUUAUUUUCAGUGUCGCAGCGAAAGCGAUAAACACACCGCCUGGGGAGUACGACCGCAAGGUUAAAACUCAAAUGAAUUGACGG